rnacentral:rRNA from 1 species
UGUCUCCGCUGGUGAACCAGCGGAGGGAUCAUUACCGAGUUUACAACUCCCAAACCCCUGUGAACAUACCACUUGUUGCCUCGGCGGAUCAGCCCGCUCCCGGUAAAACGGGACGGCCCGCCAGAGGACCCCUAAACUCUGUUUCUAUAUGUAACUUCUGAGUAAAACCAUAAAUAAAUCAAAACUUUCAACAACGGAUCUCUUGGUUCUGGCAUCGAUGAAGAACGCAGCAAAAUGCGAUAAGUAAUGUGAAUUGCAGAAUUCAGUGAAUCAUCGAAUCUUUGAACGCACAUUGCGCCCGCCAGUAUUCUGGCGGGCAUGCCUGUUCGAGCGUCAUUUCAACCCUCAAGCACAGCUUGGUGUUGGGACUCGCGUUAAUUCGCGUUCCCCAAAUUGAUUGGCGGUCACGUCGAGCUUCCAUAGCGUAGUAGUAAAACCCUCGUUACUGGUAAUCGUCGCGGCCACGCCGUUAAACCCCAACUUCUGAAUGUUGACCUCGGAUCAGGUAGGAAUACCCGCUGAACUUAAGCAUAUCAAUAAGCGGAGGA